CCUACGGGUGGCAGCAGUGGGGGAUAUUGCACAAUGGGGGAAACCCUGAUGCAGCGACGCCGCGUGUGGGAAGACGGUCCUCUGGAUUGUAAACCACUGUCGCCAGGGACGAAGAUGCCGGUAUCUGGGAAGGAAGCUCGGGCAAAGUACGUGCGAGCAGCCGAGGUAAUACGUAGGGGGCGAGCGUUGUCCGGAUUUACGGGGGUUAACGGGAGCGAAGGCGGGGAUGCAAGUCGGGUGUCAACACUACCGGCUCAACUGGUAGCCGCAGUCGAAACCGGAGCUCUUGAGUGAAGGAGAGGCAGGCGGAAUUCGUGGUGUAGCGGUGAAAUGCGUAGAUAUCAGGAGGAACCCCAGUGGCGAAGGCAGCCUGCUGGGGUGCUACUGACGCUGAGGCUCGAAGGUGUGGGGAGCAAACAGGAUUAGAUACCCGGGUAGUC
rnacentral:rRNA from 1 species